rnacentral:rRNA from 1 species
GAUGAACGCUAGCUACAGGCUUAACACAUGCAAGUCGCGGGGCAGCAUGGGGGUUGCUUGCAACCCCUGAUGGCGACCGGCGCACGGGUGAGUAACGCGUAUCCAACCUGCCCUUCACCAAGGGAUAACCCGGCGAAAGUCGGACUAAUACCGUAUGUUGUCCAUUUGCGGCAGCCGAUUUGGACGAAGGGCUUGGCGGUGAACGCGUGGGGAUGCGUGCGAUUGGCUUGACGGCGGGGGAACGGCCCACCGUGGCUACGAUCCGUAGGGGUUCUGAGGGGAAGGGCCCCCACGGGGGAACGGAGACACGGGCCAGGCUCCUACGCGAGGCAGCAGACGGGAAGAAUGAGCGAUGGGCGUAAGCCUGAACCAGCCAAGUAGCGUGCAGGAUGACGGCCCGAUGAGUUGUAAACUGCUUUUAUGCGGGGAUAACGUGGCCGACGUGUGGGCUUUUGCAGGUACCGGAUGAAUAAGGACCGGCUAAUUCCGUG